UUAGUGAGUGAAGCUGGUACAAGCAAGAUGAAAACCGCGGUGUUGCUGUUGGUACUACUCCUUUCUUUGGUUUUGGUCGAAGGAGGUAUUCCCUUGAGUAUUGCAGAGACCAAACCAAGAAUCUUGAAGAUGAACGACCGCAGACGCUUCAAAGAGUCUCAACAGGAAGUUCAGUACCGAAGAGACAUCUGCUUACAGGCUCGUGAGCUGGGAUGUGAGGUGGAACGAAAGAAAUGAAUUCACUUGAACUGAAGACAAAACAGCUUACCAGUUAACGUUCGAAUGCAUUAUUAGAUGAUUAAAUUGAAGUAUAGAUUGUUUUUGCUGUAAAAAUAAACUGCAUUAAUCCAAAAGAGGUUGUGUUCUUUACGAUAAAUAUAUAUUGGUUACAAUGUGUUAAAAUAAAAUUUCUGGAUGAUGUGCUGGAAAAA